ensembl:snoRNA
UGGUCCAUCCUAAUCCCUGCUGGUUAGUUGGUGAUCUGCCAGGCUUCACUUGUGGACUAGAGCACUGUGGAAGCCCUGCCAAAGUUGAGCACGGCCUUUGUAGGCUCAUGCCAUUGGCACUUCUGAACACAC